UACGAAGGGGGCUAGCGUUGCUCGGAAUUACUGGGCGUAAAGGGCGCGUAGGCGGACAUUUAAGUUAGAGGUGAAAGCCCAGGGCUCAACCCUGGAAUAGCCUUUAAUACUGGAUGUCUUGGGUUCGGGAGAGGUGAGUGGAAUGCCGAGUGUAGAGGUGAAAUUCGUAGAUAUUCGGCGGAACACCAGUGGCGAAGGCGACUCACUGGCCCGAUACUGACGCUGAGGCGCGAAAGCGUGGGGAGCAAACAGG
rnacentral:rRNA from 1 species